UUUUGACAGUGAGUUUUCUCCUUGGAUAACUUUUGAAUGAUGCAGUAUGAAAAAUUAGUUUAUCUGUGCUGAUUUUGAGCUGAGAUGGCACGAAAAUACAAGGCUCGCUUGGGCCACAGAAGCUAUGGAAAUUAUUCAACAGAAACACUGGAAAAGUGCCUGGAUGAUGUCGAGUCUGGUAGACUAAGCCAAAGAAAAGCUUCAGAUAAAUACAACAUUAUCAAAUUUGUAUGCUUGCCUCCCAAUUCCACCCACCUGACUCAACCUUUGGACUUGGCAUUUUUUUCUCCAUUGAAACGUGCUUGGCAUUUGACGUUAUCCAAGUGGUGUGACACUGCAGAUGGAUCAAAAUAUCCUUCCAUUCCAAAAGAGAAAAUUACAGUUUUGCUAAAGCAACGGCACAGGUGGCAAUCAAUAUGUCGGGGUGGUUGGAGUCUGCACUGCUGAACUUGCCUGCCCAACACUGCAUGGGGGCGCAUUCAGGCCGCACAUGCUCUAGCAAGAUGGGAUAUGCCAUGGCGGUCUAUGCAGACCAGAGGAGCACCGACAGUUGGUGUUAAUGUACUAAUACGUUAUGACUUUUCUCAUUUAGCAAUAAACAUGUUUUCAUUGGAGA